rnacentral:lncRNA from 1 species
CUCCCAUUUUUUAAAAUAUUUUAUUUAUAUUAAAUUGUUUCAUACCUAAAUAUUUUAUGGUAAAUGAAAGCCGUUUCCCCUGAACAUCAUAAGUGUGGGUGCACUUAAUAUGAAAGGUGAAUUACAGUUGAACAGUCAAAUUCCAGGUUUUGAUCACAAUGUGUACAUUUGGUCAGUCCUUAAGGGGGUUAAUAUGUAAAUAUUAACCAACUAAAUUACAUCACAAUGCUGUGUGUGCACACAACAGGGGACUUGUUAUUAAGUGGUUACCACAUACUGUGGGACAGUGCCAAAGCUCUUCCAAACGGCCAAGGUGCCUGGACAGACAAUACCAAGUUAUAGUUCCACCACUCCUUUAGAGAAAGUGGAGCUUCUGCUGAUAAGUUGUGUUAACCACUACUGCGUGCUCGCAGUAAUGGUACCAAGAGCAUCCUGGGUGUAAAACUGCUCUCCAAUUGUUUAACUCCUAAGCGUGGGUGGGUUCUAGGUCCAAGACCAUUAACCCCUUAAGGACACAUGACGGAACUAUGCCGUCACAAUUCCCUUUUAUUCCAGAAGUUGUAUCCUUAAGGGGUUAAAUUGACAUUGGCUCAUAGGAGACAAACACAGAACAUCUGGGAAGGAAAUAUUUCAGAAAGUCUUUCAUUUCAUUAUGUUGCCAACACCAAACAGACAUCACCAUUGGUGGUCUUUGCAAAGAGAUUCACCGCCACUUACCUCCCUUUACUUCAUGAACAUGAGCCCUGGUCAUUCUUCAUUGCUAGUUGUGUGUGAAAGUCAAGCAUAUAGUAAUCUAAAGAAACACCAUAGUCCCUAGAACUGCAGCUUAAUGUAGUGGUUCUGGUAUCUAUAGUCUGUCCUUGUUAAGAGAAAAAGCAGGGUUUACAUUGCUGCCAAGGAAAACAUGUGGUAGUCACUAAGCCUGCCACUAGAGGUGCUGCAAAAUGUUUAGUCUCCAUGCUGAACGUUGCCCAUAGAGAUGCAUUAUUUCAAUGCACCUCCAUGAGGAAAUGCUGAUUGGUGCAGUAGAGUUUUGCCGUGCCAAUCCAAUGCCUUCCUAUGCGAUGGCAUUGGAUUGGCAGAAUUUCAAUUUUGAUGAUCUCCAUAAAGAAGGUGGAGUCCGCUGCAACCAGACCCACCCAGUGCUGUACAAGUCAUUUUACUUUCCUGACAGGGAGCAGCCUAUAUAGCGAUGAUACAGUUGUGUCUGGAAUACAGGUUUGUAAUUCUGACACUUUAGUGAUCCUUUAUAGGACCACCAGUGCUGGUAAUGUGUGACUGGGCCAACCUUGCCAGAGGCAAAAAAGUACACUACACUGUCUAAAUACAAAAAAAAAAAGAAAAAAAAAGAACACUUUUGCAAAUCCAUCCCAAAGAAGAUGUGCAAUUAUGCAUUUUGCCAAUGGGGUAUAUCCAAGGACAGCUUGCACAAGUUGCAGACCACUUGUCUGAUGUCUUUCCAGGUACUCCCCUGCUAAUCCACAAUUUGUAUCGGACCAACCAGACUUCCCAAGGCAGCUCUCUAAGCCAUCAUCUGCCUCAAUUUUAACUCCACUGAGUCAACAAAAAAGUGCCAAUGUCUAUUAAGAGAUGCCUUUUUUGUAAAUAAGACAUGGCAAAACAAGCACGUUCAUGGCGAUUAAGUGACAUGAGUGCGUACAGCGUACCUCUAAUGCGUUAUUUAUCAUGUUGGCCAUGGUGGGUUUUUUAGUCCUGACAUUUUGAACUACAGUAAAGUGUUUAAUGCUCCAUUGUAUGCACUGCAUUUGUAGCAUUGCUAAAAUAUGUGCAUACAUUUAACCCCUUAAGGACACAUGACGUGUGACAUAUCAUGAUUCCCUUUUAUUCCAGAAGUUUGGUCGUAAAAUAUUGCUACGUUAUGACAAGUUUGGACAAAUAGGAAAAAAAAAAAAGGCACAAAUCCAAAUCAACAUAAGUUGUUAAACAGCAGGUGGAUUCCUCAAGUUUGACAAGUGUUCCAGUUCAUAAAUGUAACAUUUUGAAUUUUAAUGAGAUAAUUUUGUGAAAGCCAGUUUUUUAUUAAACAAAUCAAGAAUUUGAUAAUUGAGCAGCUUCCAUUAUUUGUGCUCCCUUAUCUGAUGUGUUCUAGUCUCCAGGCAUGUCCAUGGAUUCCC